GCCAUGUUUCACGAAAAACAAUCUCAUCAUAAUACAUUUCGCAUACAUAAUACAUAAUACAUAUCAUAAUAUAAUUGUUCCACGAAAUACAUAAGCACAUAAUAAUGUCUUAUACAUUAUUAGUAAUUCGUAAUUAGUAAUUAGCAAUAAAAUAAUAAAAUAACGUAAUAGUAUCGAGGAUCAUGUAGAUUGUAGCAUCAUAACUCAUAUUCAAUACAAGUAGGUUAUGUUCAUACGCAUUAAAGCUCAAUUUUAAUCGGUUGACUGCCAUGGCGAUUACACAUUAGCAUUUGUGAUGGCGCCACAGAAGUCUCUGUCCCUCUGGAGUGCAUGCAAUAGUGGUGCCACAGGGAAAAUUAGUGGCCAGAAAUAUCAAAGCUGUCAGUAGCGUUAUAAGUACGCUGUGGAUAAUUGUUAAAAUUAUGUAUCUAGUAUUUUCAUGAACGCAAUUAAAGCAAUGGAAUCUAACAGUAAGCGAAAAAUCGUUUCGCUCGAAACGUUUAAAUACGUAUUAUUAGUAGGCACGAUAUUUUAAAAAUUUAUUAAAUUGAGAAUUAUUUAAUUACUAUUAAAUAAAAAUAAUUUGGAAAUUAUUUCAUGUACAUUUUUUUAAUUUCAAAUUUCCUGUAACUGUGCAAACAUUAAAAUUGAUAAUUUUAUAAAUAACAGUAACAUAAUGAUAUACAAUAAUUAUGAAUAUUCGUAUACAUAUAAGAGACAAUAAUCUAGCUUGGAGUAUGAUUUUAUACAAGUACGAUCCAUAUUAAUAAAUGAGCCAAAAGAGAAGAUAAUAAGAGCAGACUUUAUCUGCAAAAAAUUGCUGUAAAGCUUGUAAACGUUCGACUGAAAGAACGGAAAGCUCCGCGUAUCCAUCCCGUAUACAAUAUCGUUAGUAACGCGAUCGAUGUCCAAGAGCAUGAGAAAGCCACCUGAGCCUUUAAUUCCUCCAAUGAGGUCGUUACAAUCACGUUCACAAAGGCGUUUAAUCACUAACAACGAGAGGGUAGUUACGUUGCAAUAUUCUGCGACAGAAUUACGUUUUAUAUGUACUUACAUUAUUAGUGAACAAACUAUGAAACCGUCUAAAUCUUUAGCAGUUCUAGAAAUCAAGAUACUAUAUCGAUUUUGAAUAAACCAUGAACUCGUUCGAGAACGAGAAAAAGUCCAGAUAAAACUAGAACAUCUGACAAAGCUAUCACUCACGUAUCUAGAACUCAUCAACCAAUAUGAAACAUAUAUAGAUAUACAUAAUAUGUACAUAUGCAUAAGCAUAUAUCUAAGGAAUUAUUAUGCAAAUACAACUUUUAAUUCACUCCUCUCCCAUAAGAAUUUAAUAUUAUGUUACAAUUAUGUUUGUCUUACAUUUUCAAUGCAUUCCAUCUGCAAAACAUUCAAAACAUAAAUAUAAUAAACAAAAUGUAGAUAGCUAAUAUUAUGUACAUAUCAAUAAUAAAAUUUAUACAUUGAAUAAUGAAAUACAAUAAAAUAUAAGUAAUGAGAUAUCAAUAUAAUAUAAGGUUAGGAAUGAUAAAAAAGUUAGGUACAUGUAUCUAAGUAAAAGUCUCUUAUGGCAAGAGGAUACCAAAUUAUUCAGGCAUGCAUUGAAUUCAAAGGUUCUGGGGUUAAGUGCCAUGCCAUGUCUCAGAGACCUCUUACUAGAAGGCACCCACUCACCCCUUCCCCAUAGUCAAAUCUUCCAGGAACAAUGUUCCUAUUCUUGGGGGCAACACAAUGUCGGGUUCCUUGCCAUAUGUACUGUGUACAUAACCGAAGACUCACACGCGUCUUUCAAGCAAUUAAUCCCAUGACACCUGAUAGCUAUUUGGUUUCUCUAGCUACUCUUGAACAUUAUUUACUCUCAGAAGAAUUUUGGUCAAAUGCAAGUUAAAUAUGCUAGAUUUGUGAUAACAGAUUUUUCUACGAAACUAUACAAGAAUUAAUUCGUAUAUAGUAACGUAUGUUAUCAACAAUUAAACGUGUCAAUCUACUUAACAGUGAGAUUUUUAAAUUAUGUAAAAUACUAUACAAUAUAAAUAACAAAAUAAUACUGAUAAACUGCUACAAAUGUGAUUUAUUUAAUAUAGAUAACCUAAAAGAAGAAAAAUAAAAUAUUAAUAAUUAAAAUAAUAAAAAUAAAAAACUGAUUUUAAUCAACUGGUAAAAUAUAAUGUCCAAGUGUUUAUUUGGAAAUACCAUUUCACCUUAAUAACACGGUGUACCUAUUACAUCUGUAUAACCUGCGUGCGCAUGCAACCAGCUUAUUAAAUAUACGCAAUUGCUGGUCAAAUGGGAGAUCUGUCUGAAACUUUUACAAGAUUAUUUGGAUUGCAUCAAUAUGGCUUAACAUAUUUUCAAACAAAGAUGUUAAUAACCAAUGGCUUACGUUAGACGCACUGUUAUACAACAUAUGAUAUAAUUAAUGGUACAACCACGAAGAAAGCACAGUCUAUGCGACAAUACGUAUAAUGUUGUGCCACAUUAAGUUAUAGAGUGAUCGUACUAGUCAGAGUAGCGACGUUAAGAAUUCUUUAUAGGAUUAUCUUGAAAAUUAGGAUUUUCUAAUAUAUGUCUUUUAUAAGAUUUUCUAUAGCAUUAUAUGUAAUAUAUAUAGUGUAAUCAUGGAUUAAAUUGACUAAAAUAUGGCGAUACAUACAAUGGCGCUAGUAGAUACAACAACCUUUAAAGUCGUUCAUAGGAACAUCUUAGAGGUUAGAAUUAUCUUAUAUUUUUUUGUAGACAUUUCCUAUAGCACAGUAUUUGAAUAUCCAUCAUAUAAAACUUUUAUGUUAUAAAUACAUACAUAUUAUUAUCUCCUCUAUGCAUCUAUAUAUCGUAUUUCAUCAUACAUGCAAAUCAUUCUAAAAAUACAACGGGAAGAGAAACGACAUUUAACCAAGCUGCAGAAACGCCACAAAGCUUGGUAGAAGAGAUGGGUUUGAGGACGACAAAGAAUACAAGAAAAAUACAUUAUAUUUAUUUCUAUGGGAACUAAAUGGAGAUUUCGGCCAGAUUCGUCGGAAACGAAAAUAACACAUCGAUCCACGAGAGAAAACGGAUUUGAUAGGGAAUGGUACUAUUACAGGAUAUUGCCCUAAUCUAAUUGAUUGCGGAUAAUGGAAAAUAUGUAAUUCUAAUUUUCAAACCGAAUAUAGUUGCAAGAAAAGAAACAAUGAAAAAAGACAAGCUUGUGCAUCAAACAGCGCCACUACUGGAGAGUUUUAAGAGGCUGCAUUUCUUCCACCAACUAUGCUUCUAGCUCUAACUCAGGCAAGUAGUAUAACAGACGAUUAAGUUGACCAACUGUGAUUCCAAUUCAUACCCAUAAUAAAAUUUCUAAUAAAUUUUCACUUUUAGUUAAAUUUAAUAUAGAUUUAUGUAUAGAUCAUAGAUACAGAAAUUAUUACAUGUGAUUUACAUAUAAUAUCUUAACUGUACACUUAACUAUGAUCUCAAUCAAAUUUAAUAUGUAAAAAGAGCAUGUAAAGCAGUGGUUUAAUUCGAUGACACAAUGACAAUCGCAAUGGAGCAAAAUUUAACGGUUUACGUAAUCGCAUAAAAGUACAUUUAACAGUCAUCACCGACAAUGCAGCCUCGUUGAGCCUUGUUGACUGUGAUCACAUGAAUCCAGAUUUUAUCUCAUAGCGUUUAAGUGAAUCAAAUGGGGAAAAAAUCGAACUUAACGAAGUAUUUGUAGAGUGAUUGAAAUAACUGGAUACGACACAAUGACCAGAUUUUAUUAACCCGUGAAUGAUUAAUUAUAGGAGAGUCAGUUUUAAUGCGAUUUCGUCAAUUUAUAAAACAGAUAAUUCAUAAGAGAGAUACGAUAUUAUGUAAAUUAUGAAAUAUUUAGCGAUGAAUAUCGUAUUUUAUAUGUCGAAUAUUUUCGAUUUAUAUAAUUUUUGUAAAGAAUUAGAAUUGAAAAAUUCAUAACAAAAAUGACCCUUUGAAUCAUAGUCUAUAUAGGUGACAUAGCAAGUUAGGUUAAGUUAUUUAAUAUUGAAAUAUUUAGUUUUAAUUUG